GUGCUUACUUCAGCAGCGCAUAUACUAAAAUUGGAACAAUACAGAGAACUUCGCAAGGAUGACACACAAAUAUUAUGUUUAUGAAAUUUAA
rnacentral:snRNA from 3 species